GCCCCCGAAGGAAGAUAGUCGUCCAUUGGUCUUAGGAACCAAGCUCCUUGGUGCAAGUCCAAGCAGGGGCU
rnacentral:tRNA from 1 species